rnacentral:rRNA from 1 species
UAGGGAAUCUUCCGCAAUGGGCGAAAGCCUGACGGAGCAACGCCGCGUGAGUGAUGAAGGUCUUCGGAUCGUAAAACUCUGUUAUUAGGGAAGAACAAAUGUGUAAGUAACUAUGCACGUCUUGACGGUACCUAAUCAGAAAGCCACGGCUAACUACGUGCCAGCAGCCGCGGUAAUACGUAGGUGGCAAGCGUUAUCCGGAAUUAUUGGGCGUAAAGCGCGCGUAGGCGGUUUUUUAAGUCUGAUGUGAAAGCCCACGGCUCAACCGUGGAGGGUCAUUGGAAACUGGAAAACUUGAGUGCAGAAGAGGAAAGUGGAAUUCCAUGUGUAGCGGUGAAAUGCGCAGAGAUAUGGAGGAACACCAGUGGCGAAGGCGACUUUCUGGCCUGUAACUGACGCUGAUGUGCGAAAGCGUGGGGAUCAAACAGG